UUACAGCCAUAUCAUGUUGAAACACUGGUUCCCAUACAAUCACUGAAGUUAAGCAAUGUUGAGCCUGGUCAUUACCUAGAUGGGUGACCACUUGGGAAUACCAGAUGCUGUAAGC
rnacentral:rRNA from 1 species